UUCGGAUUGAAGGCUGAAAUUCGCCUUCAUGAAGUCGGAAUUGCUAGUAAUGGCAGGUCAGCAUACUGCCGUGAAUACGUUCCCGGGCCUUGUACACACCGCCCGUCACACCAUGAGAGUUGGAGGUACCCGAAGCCUAUGAGCUAACUUUUAGAGGCAGUAGUCGAAGGUAGAAUCAAUGAUUGGGGUGAAGUCGUAACAAGGUACC
rnacentral:rRNA from 1 species